GUAAAAAAACUAACGCCAAUAUAACGGAUGAAUUUGAAAUAAGGAAAUGUUAUCCGUUAUAUUGGCGUUAUAUUGGCGUUAUAUUUCUUUGUGUGCGUCAUAAUUUGUGCACGCUUGAUCGAUUCUUUUCAAAUGAUGAACUCAAUCCGUUGUAUUCAUCACUUAAAUUCAUCCGUUAUAUUAGGCGUUAUAUUAUUUCGUUCUCAGGCUCUUCAUAUUCCGAACCUUGAAGACAGUUGAUGAUAAUACAUUAUAAAAAAAUAUAUUUAAUUUGAAUUACCAUGAAGGCAAUAAAAGUCACUUUCAAAAAUCGAAGCGAAAUAGUUGUUGCAAAUUCCGAUUUGUUUGCAUUUGUUCAACAAGUCUGUCUAACAUUUGGUGUCAGUCAAAUUAUUGGUUUGAAAUGGCUAGGAUGCUCAGUUCACGAAACAAAUUUUAAAGCAUUGCUAAAUGAACAAUCACUAGAAUUUGUAGUCGAUAUACAAGAACUUGAUCAAAUCAAUAAACAACCUCUGUCUCAAUCUUCCUGUUCUUAUACUGAUCCUCAAUCAUCAUGCUCCACGUCAUAUAGCUUUCUUACCGACUUGCAAAGUAAUGAAAUUUUUGCUGAAGACGUUAUUAGCAAGCAAAGACGCUUAGAUAAUCUAUUUCCAGUUAUUUUUUCAUCCACUGGUCCUUCAGCUCAAAUCAAUCAAACUUCACCUAAUAUUAAAAAUCAAACUCCGCAAUGUUCAAGAGAUAGUAUAUCUUCAAAUAAAAAUAAGUUGACAGAGAUCUUCAAUCCGAAGCGAAAGGUAUUUUUAUAUAAAUGUAACUGCUGUACUUUUCAAUCUUCUAGGUAUUGUAUGAUGAAAAAUCACUUGCGUAUUCAUGGAAACAAAGGUUCAAUUAUUUGUGAUACUUGCUAUUCAAAGUUUAAAACGCUCUACGGAUUUCAAAAGCAUACUGAGCAAUGUUCAGCGCUUGUAGAGAAUAGUUUUGAUGUUGAUUCAAUUGAAGAAGCAGAAAAAUAUCAAAUAACUGAUGAUUAUUUAGGAGCUUUAGCUUUGCAUCUUCAAGGUAAACACAGGUGUGCUCAAAAUAUUUUAGAUUCAAUAUUUCUGCAUCUAAAGGAAAUGCUGUCUGUGUCAAAUAUUGAUGUAUGCAAAUUAAAAUCUUGUUGUGAAAUUUUAACAUCUCAAAGUUGCCGCGAGACAUAUUUUGUUAGGGUAUUCAAAAUGCCUUUAGUUAAAUCUGUUGGUCUCAAAAAACAAGGUUGUGUUGUACCCUUUUUAGACACCUUAUCAUUUUUAUUUCAAUCUCCUGAGAUUGCAAAGUUUGUUGAUAGUAAAAUCAGUAUUGCUAUUUAUUGUGAUGAUCUUGGUAUCACAAAUCCUAUUGGUAAAGCACGGUCUAGACACAAACUUUGGGCAAUGUAUUUUCAAAUUCUUAAUAUCCCUGCAAAAUACCGUGGAAGAACAUCAACCAUAUUUCCUUUAGCAUUUACAGGUAGUAAGAUGAUUAAAGACAAUAUAUUCUUCCAUGCACUGUUGACUGACUUUAUUGAUGCUAUGUCAAAACUUAUGACAGGGAUAGUGAUAACAGUGUUAGGAGUUCCCAAAGUAUUGACAGGUGAGUUAUGUUAUUUUUCUGGUGAUUCAUUAGCUGCAAAUGCUAUUGGUGGAUUUAAAGAAGGUUUUAGCAGGAAGACAGUUCGAUGCUGUAGAGUUUGUAAUUCAACAAGAGGGCAGAUGUAUGCAAACACUAGGCAUGAACAAUGCUCUAUACGUGAUUUAAAAGAACAUUUAAUUAGAGUAAAUGAAUUAGAUUCUGGUCUUAGACCUAAAGAUAGAAUUAAAUGGUCAAAAUAUUAUGGGAUUUCUUCAUCAAGUGUUCUUUCGUCAGUUCCAUUAUUUGAUGUAACAAAGCAAAUCUUAUUUGACCCUAUGCAUGAUCUAUUAGAAGGUGUUGUUCCUCUUCAGUUAGAACUGUUUUUUUCAUACGCUAUUGAAAAUAAUUUUUUAACAAUAUUGUCAUUAAAUACAUGGCUCCAAUCAUUUGUGUAUCCAGCUGGCAUUGAAAAGCCUGGUGUAAUUUUAAAAACAUGUAAAAUCAAAGGGAGUUUUGGAAGUGGUCAAAUACUUACUCUUACACGAGUUUUACCUUUUUUUUUAGUGAAAAAUUUUUUGGCUCAUAAUGAACAUCUUAAAUGCUUGCUAAAAUUGAUUCAAAUAGUUCAACUAUGCAUGUCUCCAGUCAUAACAGAAAAAUACAUUACUGAUUUGAAAGAUAUCAUUGCUAUGCAUCAUGAACUAUUUUUGGGUUUAUACCCACAUAAAUUUAUACCUAAGCUCCAUUUUCUUAUCCACUAUCCAGCUCAGGCUGCUACUUCAGGGCCUUUGAGGGAGCACAUGUGCAUGGCUUUUGAGCGCAAACAUCAAGUGGUUAAGAAUUAUCGACAUUUUAACUUUAAGAACAUUCCUUAUACAGCCUGUAAAACAAUGAUUGCAAACACCACUGCUCAGUUUUUUAAUUCAAUUGGUGCAAUUAAAGCUGAUGUCUAUUGUAAUGAGGAUGAACUAAAAUACUUGUCAGGAGCAAUACAAAGUGCAAAUAUUGAUGGCAUUUUAUAUAAAAUUGGGUCUGUAAUCACUGUUUUUGAGAACGACCAGUUUAUUUACCAUCAAAUCAAUAAGAUAGUAUCAAUAUCUGGAAAAAGACACUUUGAAACAACCAAAUUAGAUACUUUACUCUCAAAUGUUUAUUCCACCUGCAAAUUACCUUCAUUUUCUUUAACUAAUAUUGUAUUUCCUGAGACAUUACAGUUUCCAUGGUGCGCAAUUGGACUAUCAGUUAGUGAUGCUAUCCUUGUGUUUCCACUUGCCAUUCCAAAUUUGUCUUUUGAUGGUAUUUCAAAUCAGCUAACACAAGAAACUAGUUAAACUUUAAUAUCUUAAAAACCCUACAUAACCAUAUUUCAGGCUUAUCUUUAUUUAAAUGUCUAAAGUUAAACUUCCUCAAUCAGAUGUCGAUCUUCUGAUGACUUAUUUUUCUGUACCAGUUAUACAAUUGCUCAAUGGAGUUAGUAAUGUUUUUGUUUUGAAAGAACUGAAGAAUGCACUAACUCAAUUUUCAUCAUUAAAGGUUAUUAAUAAUGACCAUUUUGGUAACAGGGAGUUCUUCUCACGACUCA